AACCAUUCAAAUAUACCACAGUUUGUUUAACCUUUUGCCUGUUGGUUGAAGAUGCCUUUCAACAGGUGACUGGUUAGACAAACUGUGGUAUAUACA
ensembl:miRNA MIR552 microRNA 552